ensembl:lncRNA
GUGUCCAUCUUUCAAGCGGUUGUCUCAUCGAAGCGAAUUUAACAGUGGAGCUGGAGAAUGUUUCCAUUGCUCACGCUGGACUGUAAUUGAAAGGAACAGAGAAAAGGAUCAUCUGGACUUGCUAACACCCAAGACGAGAACUUGGAUUGAUGAGAUGAAAGAGGUGAGCAAUGUUUUAGUUCCACUUUAAUUGCUGUUUAAAAUGAAAAGAAACAAUAAGGCCUCACUCUGUUCUGGGCUCCAAGGAAAGCACUGAACGUGGGGUAAACGUGGUCACCCUGGACCAGAAAUGGGCCUGAUUUCACCACAGCGGAGUUGGUUGCACAUCACAACAGCAGUUUGGCAGAAAUGACAAAGCUGGUGUCACUCUUCAACCCUGGAGAAUCCAGAAUAUGUUCCAGUGCCUCAACAACUCAAGCAGUGAGUUUGUCCUCAUCUCAUGGGAUACAUUGGAACAUGGAUCACAUGCCUGAGAACGAAAGGAAAGGACACACAGCAGCCUGGGAAAGGAAACAGACGUCCAGAGGCUCAGUGGCUGUCAUUGCGAAAGAAUAUUCCCACUCUUAUUAACGUCAAGAGUUUCUGUGACUGCGUGCGUCUUUCUCACAGCACAGGCUCUCUAGACACUUCAACUGAUCUUCCAGCGUAAGCAGGUAAUGCAAUCUGAGGGGCUGCUCCAAAGGCAAGAAUUCUGCAGGGAUGGAGAGAAGCGAGUCCUCUGUGAUUUCUGCCUGUUUCAUCACGUGUUUAGCGUUCGCAGGCUUGGUGGGAAUGGGGAAGGCCUGGUCGGCGCCAGAAAAGUGUAGGAGACUUCCAUGUGACAAAGUCACUUUUGAUGCCACUGUUUAUGAAUCUUGUGUUGAGCCGUUCACUCAGACCAUGGCAAACACUGACUACAAACUCAGAUGUCCCUGGCCAAGCACUAGAAGAGGCUACGUCGACCUGACGCUGUGUCUGGAGGAUCUGGCUAACUCCACAUGCUGUACAGACGCUUCCUACAGACACUGCAUGCUGCUGGACAUCCAUAAGGUUUAUUUCUCCAUGUGCUCAUAUAUGCAGGACCCAGGUAUUCCCAUCCUGCUGCUGCUCAUCAUGCCCUGUGUCAUCAUCCCAUUCAUUAUACCAUUCCUCUGGCAGUACUUCAAACUGCACGAGUACAGACUGCCAAAGAACUAAUGAUUGAACAGUGUGUUGCAUUUCAGAAUGGACAAUGUGCAUGAAUCAAAGUACUCUUUAUUCUUUUUUUUUGAUAGGCCUCACAGUAUAUUUGAAGUGAUUUUAAUUUUUAAAGUAUCCUAAAGACCAUAUUGUUAGAUUACAUUUAUGCAUUUGGGAGACACUUUAUCCCGAGAAACUUAUAUUGCUUUCAAGGUACAACAUUGUGUAAAUGUUUACUUGUAUGUAUGUAUCUUAUUUUGUGUACAUCUUAAUCAUUCUAAUAUUCUGAUUUGGUGCUCAAGAAACAUUUCUUAUGAAUGUUGAAAACUGUUGUGCUGCUUAAUAUUUUUGUGAAAAAACAAAAUUUUAAGUCCCCCCCAAGAUUAUUUGAUGAAUAGAAAGUCCAAAUUAAUAUAUUAUUUCAUUUAUUAUACCGUACACUGUCCUUAGUGUAACUUUUGAUCAAUUUACUGUGUCCUUGCUGAAAAAAAAAGUAAAACUUAAUAUUUAAAUUAAAUAUCAAAACAACUUACUGAACCCAAACGUUUAAGCAACAGUGUAUAUGACCUGGAUGGUAGCCAAAAAAAGUAAUAAAAUAAAGUAACAAAUAAAAAUAAAUAUUUAU